CCUGACUGCUAUCGGAUUGAUACUAAGCCAUGCGAGUCAUUGUAGCAAUACAAGGCAGACGGCUCAGUAACGCGUAGUCAAUCUACCCUAUGGACGGGAAUAACCUCGGGAAACUGAGAAUAAUUCCCGAUAGAACAUUAUGCCUGGAAUGGUUUAUGUUUCAAAUGAUUUAUCGCCAUAGGAUGGGACUGCGGCCUAUCAGUUUGUUGGUGAGGUAAUGGCCCACCAAGACUAUUACAGGUACGGGCUCUGAGAGGAGUAGCCCGGAGAUGGGUACUGAGACACGGACCCAGGCCCUAUGGGGCGCAGCAGGCGAGAAAACUUUGCAAUGCGCGAAAGCACGACAAGGUUAAUCCGAGUGGUUUCUGCUAAAGAAACCUUUUGUCAGUCCUAGAAACACUAACGAAUAAGGGGUGGGCAAGUUCUGGUGUCAGCCGCCGCGGUAAAACCAGCACCUCAAGUGGUCAGGAUGAUUAUUGGGCCUAAAGCAUCCGUAGCCCGUUUUGUAAGUUUUCGGUUAAAUCCAUGCGCUUAACGUAUGGGCUGCCGGGAAUACUGCAUAACUAGGAAGUGGGAGAGGUAGACGGUACUCGGUAGGAAGGGGUAAAAUCCUUUGAUCUAUUGAUGACCACCUGUGGCGAAGGCGGUCUACCAGAACACGUUCGACGGUGAGGGAUGAAAGCUGGGGGAGCAAACCGGAUUAGAUACCCGGGUAGUCCCAGCUGUAAACUAUGCAAACUCAGUGAUGCAUUGGCUUGUGGCCAAUGC
rnacentral:rRNA from 1 species